CCCGUCGCUACUACCGAUUGAAUGGCUCAGUGAGGCCUUCGGACUGGCCCAGGGAGGUCGGCAACGACCACCCAGGGCCGGAAAGUCGGUCAAACUCGGUCAUUUAGAGGAAGUAAAAGUCGUAACAAGGUCUCCGUAGGUGAACCUGCGGAGGGAUCAUUA
rnacentral:rRNA from 1 species